rnacentral:rRNA from 1 species
AUAACGGUCCUAAGGUAGCGAAAUUCCUUGUCAGGUAAGUUCUGACCCGCACGAAAGGUGUAAUGUCUUUGGGCACUGUCUCAACAGGGGACUCGGUGAAAUCAAACUGCCGGUGAAAAUGCCGGCUACCCGCGAUUAGACGGAAAGACCCCAUGGAGCUUUACUGUAGGUUGAUAUUGAUAUUUGGUAUGUAAUGUACAGGAUAGGUGGGAGACUAUGAAGCUAGGACGUUAGUCUUGGUGGAGUCGACGUUGGGAUACCACCCUUUGCCUAUCGAGUAUCUAACUAGUGUAAGUGGAUUACAAAGGACAGUGUCAGUUGGGCAGUUUGACUGGGGCGGUCGCCUCCUAAAGAGUAACGGAGGCGCUCGAAGGUUCCCUCAGAAUGGUUGGAAAUCAUUCGCAGAGUGUAAACGCAGAAGGGAGCUUGACUGCAAGACAAACAAGUCGAGCAGGGACGAAAGUCGGAGUUAGUGAUCUUACGGUACCGCGUGGAAGGGCCGUGACUCAACGGAUAAAAGCUACCCUGGGGAUAACAGGCUGAUCACGCCCAAGCGUUCACAGCGACGGCGUGGUUUGGCACCUCGAUGUCGGCUCGUCGCAUCCUGGAGGUGGAUAAGCUUCCAAGGGUUGGGCUGUUCGCCCAUUAAAGCGGCACGCGAGCUGGGUUCAAAACGUCGUGAGACAGUUUGGUCCCUAUCUGUCGUGGGCGUUGGAAAUUUGAAGAGAGCUGUCCUUAGUACGAGAGGACCGGGAUGGACAUACCACUGGUGUACCAGUUAGCCUGCCAGGGCUAUAAGCUGGGUAGCUACGUAUGGAACGGAUAAACGCUGAAAGCAUCUAAGCGUGAAGCCUCCUCUAAGAUUAGAUUUCCCACAGAAAUGGUAAGACCCCUUAUAGACUAUAAGGUUGAUAGGCUAGGUGUGGAAGCGCAGUGAUGCGUGGAGCUGACUAGUACUAAUAGGUCGAGGACUUAACCUA